rnacentral:rRNA from 1 species
AAGAUUAAGCCAUGCAUGUCUAAGUAUAAGCAAUCUAUACAGUGAAACUGCGAAUGGCUCAUUAAAUCAGUUAUCGUUUAUUUGAUAGUACCUUACUACUUGGAUAACCGUGGUAAUUCUAGAGCUAAUACAUGCUAAAAACCUCGACUUCGGAAGGGGUGUAUUUAUUAGAUAAAAACCAAUGCCCUUCGGGGCUCCUUGGUGAUUCAUGAUAACUUAACGAAUCGCAU